UACGUAGGGUGCGAGCGUUUGUCCGGAAUUACUGGGCGUAAAGAGCUCGUAGGUGGUUUGUCGCGUUGUUCGUGAAAACUCACAGCUCAACUGUGGGCGUGCGGGCGAUACGGGCAGACUGGAGUACUGCAGGGGAGACUGGAAUUCCUGGUGUAGCGGUGGAAUGCGCAGAUAUCAGGAGGAACACCGGUGGCGAAGGCGGGUCUCUGGGCAGUAACUGACGCUGGAGGAGCGAAAGCGUGGGGAGCGAACAGG
rnacentral:rRNA from 1 species